AGGGGUUAUUAGUUGUCGCUGCUAACGAUGAUGGGGGUAUUAAGAUACCCGGCUUCUU
rnacentral:tRNA from 1 species